rnacentral:lncRNA from 1 species
CUGGUUUGGCGCUUCUGCUGCAACAUGCACAUCCGGUGCUAAGAAUGAUGGUUGUGGAUUGACCCCUGGUCAACUUUCACGCACACAGGGCUGGCGCGACAACCCGCGGCUGCGACUGCUGAACCUGAAGUAUGAUGUGAUGCCGGCCGAGUACGUGACCAUGGUGGUGACGGAGUUCGGCAUGGUGCCUCCCACCUCCGUGCCCGUCAUCCUGCGCGAGUUCCGGCAGAGCGAGACCACGGUCAGCGGCCCGUUCUAAUGUAGCGCUUGCGUGAGUGGGGCUUGUGAGCGUCCCCCGACGGGGGGAGGUGCAGUGCAGGGUUGUGCGAGAGGGUUGGGGGGGUCAUGGCGCUUCGGGUGCAGAGCGUAUAAAGUAGGGCAUCGGAUCGCGUAUCUUGGUUGCUGCAGCAAAGAGCGAUGGCCCAAGGCUACCAAGCGAGACAGAUGCAGGUGGCAGCAGUGGUUUGUGGGUGGUCUGCCUCAGGAGCAUGGGAAGUUCCAACUGAGAGGUGCUGGCGUGUGAUUGAUUUGAGUGCAGCAGGAGUUUGUCGGGCUUAGGACACUGUUAGUUGAGCCCGUUGGCGGCCCGUUUGACUGAUAUCGGUGCAAGAAGGUAACACGGCACAGACCCGCACAAUACGACACAGUGGGACGCAGUGGGCGAUGCGUGCUUAUCUUGCGCCCACACACGUGUUGCGGGCGUGUACCUGAAAUGCACAGGCUAGUACAUAACCGCACCUUCAGCUGUAAGGAUUGACUGCACUCCGU